GGGCUCGUGGUCUAGCGGUAUGACGUCGCCCUUACACGGCGAAGGUCACCGGUUCGAAUCCGGUCGGGCCCA
rfam:Candidatus Methanoregula boonei 6A8, complete genome.